ensembl:rRNA 5S_rRNA 5S ribosomal RNA
GCCUAUGGUCAUACCACCCUUAACACACCAGAUCUCUGCUGAUCUCAGAAACUAAGCAGGAUCGAGACAGGGUCUCGCUAUGUCACCCAGGAU